CCUACGGGAGGCAGCAGUGGGGAAUAUUGGACAAUGGGGGCAACCCUGAUCCAGCCAUGCCGCGUGUGUGAAGAAGGCCCUCGGGUUGUAAAGCACUUUCAGUGAGGAAGAACGCCUGGUGGUUAAUACCCAUCAGGAAAGACAUCACUCACAGAAGAAGCACCGGCUAACUCCGUGCCAGCAGCCGCGGUAAUACGGAGGGUGCGAGCGUUAAUCGGAAUUACUGGGCGUAAAGCGCGCGUAGGUGGCUUGAUAAGCCGGUUGUGAAAGCCCCGGGCUCAACCUGGGAACGGCAUCCGGAACUGUCAAGCUAGUGUGCAGGAGAGGAAGGUAGAAUUCCCUGUGUAGCGGUGAAAUGCGUAGAGAUCGGGAGGAAUACCAGUGGCGAAGGAGGCCUUCUGGACUGACACUGACACUGAGGUGCGAAAGCAUGGGUAGCAAACAGGAUUAGAUACCCCAGUAGUC
rnacentral:rRNA from 1 species